rnacentral:rRNA from 1 species
GGGUGCGAUCAUAACAGCACUAAUGCACCGAAUCCCAUCAGAACUCCGAAGAUAAACGUGCUUGGGCGAGAGCAGUACUAAGAUGGGUGACCUCUUGAGAAGUCCUCGUGUUGCACCCU